UAUGUUGUGUAAAAGCAUUUCAGUAUGUUCUGUGAAAGCAUUUCAGUUGAAACGGAAGCUGGUUGAAAUCUCCAGUCCAGUUGGUGGCAGUAGUGCACCUCAAGAGACCGAGUGUGGGCGAGAGAGAACGAGUGUGCGGGUAAAGGAUCAAAUAAACAUACUGAACCAUUUUAACUUACGGUAGCAUUAAGUUGAGGUAUCCUGCAGUUUUUAAAUAUGCCUUAAAACUUUUAUUAUCAAUUAUAAACUAUUGUAUGGAGUCAAGGGAUUGGGGGCGUAUACAACUCGCCUGCGUGUGUUGCGUCAUCAGCUUGAAUUGCAGACGCAGACUGAGGUGGAGCUGAAUCAGACAAGAGACAUGCGGCUGGAUCAAAGUAACGGCAGAGGACACACUUUGCAUGGCUUGAUGGUGUUGUGAACUGGAAGAAAUAAAACAUUCGAGGCUCCUCCGACAACAAUUAUCCUCUUUGAAAGUUUAUACUGAAGGACAAUGUUCUUUAGUUUAAAACCUUUUGUUUUGUUAUUGAGAUGAUCAAGAACUGUUCUUAUGUUCUGUGAUAUGUUUGAUCUAAUGAGAAAAUUAGAAAGAGCUGAUAAACUCUCCACUGUUUUUCAGAAAAAUCCUUCAGUUUCUGGAUAUUCUCUCCUUUUCCCGCAUCUUAUUAAGCUCCAUAUUAAAGCUUACCUGGGGAAGAGUCUGUACCUUAUCUGGUUGUUAAGUCAUGACGUAAGGAAUUUUGUUUCCGGGUUCAAGCCUCCACUCAUUCAAUAGAGGAUAUUAUUUAAACAGCCCUUUAUGAGCACUAUUUAUUCAUAUCACACAUUUAAGAUAUAUUUUAUAAAUUUGCAGACACAUUCUCUAAGCUCACAACGUCACAGACAACAAUACUUUAACAAUUCAUAGACGAUUAAUUAUUUCCGGUCAUCAUGGAUUUCAAUAUGGAGAUAAAGGUUAGGAUUGCGUUUUUUUUUUUUUUUGCUAGUUUUACACUGCACUGUAAGUGUAAAUUAUUAUUGUAUGUUGUUUAUUUAAGGUGUCUGAUGGGAGCAUUUGGACCCAGAAGUUGUGCUGUCAGACUUAACAACCGGAUACAUACUAGGGACAAACUCUCCUGGAAAAGCACUUCUGAUAUUACUUUUGUUUCUCAACAAAUAAUUGUAUCAUGUUUGGUAUUAUUUUCGAUUUAAAGGUACUUUAUUGGCAUGAUUGUUUGUAGGCACAAUAUUGCCAAGCAUAUACAUUAAACGCAAUAGUAACAUGUGGAAAAUGUGGAAUUUCAAUAAGGUGAAGAAGUACUAAAUACAUCUGAAUCAGAGAAUAUUUAUUAUAGAAAACAGAAUUUAAGAUAUAAACAUUCGAAGUAAAUAAAUGUACAUUUUAAACAGAGACAUGUGAAAGGUAAAACAAAAGUGCUGUACAGAUCAGGGCUGUAGUUUAUUAUUGAAACUGUUUAAAUAAAUUUAGCAGCAGCUAAUGGAUGUCUAUGUUCCCCCAGGAACAUCUUUAUUUGGUCUGAUUCUGAAAAGCUGUGAAACUCCACUUUGAGCGUUUUUUGUAAAGUGUUUCACUAUAGGAUCUUUACAUUUACCACAAUAAAGGAGAAAUUGUGUGACUCUUGACCUCA